rnacentral:rRNA from 1 species
CGUGGAUUAGGCAUGCAAGUCGAACGGUAUAAACCUUUCGGGGGUUUAGAGGAGUGGCGAACGGGUGAGUAACACGUAGGUAAUCUACCCUCAAAACGGGGACAACCCAGGGAAACUUGGGCUAAUACCGGAUGCGUGCAAGCAAUGUUUUGGUUGUUAAUGCUAUUCACGGAAGUGAGUAGUGUUAAUGGUUGAGAGCAUUAUUUGCAUAAAAGGUGGCAUAUGCUGCCGUUUGAGGAUGAGCCUGCGUCCUAUUAGUUAGUUGGUGAGGUAAUGGCUUACCAAGGCGAUGAUAGGUAGGCGGCCUUAACGGGUGGUCGCCCACACUGGGAUUGAGAGACGGCCCAGACUCCUACGGGAGGCAGCAGUCGAGAAUAGUCUACAAUGGACGGAAGUCUGAUAGUGCGACGCCGCGUGAACGAAGAAUCCCUUCGGGGUGUAAAGUUCUUUUAUACGUGAGCAGUGCCCUUUAUAUGAAUAGUAUAGAGGGAGGGAUUUAAGCGUAUGAAUAAGCAACGGCUAACUCCGUG